rnacentral:rRNA from 1 species
UACGUAGGGGGCAAGCGUUGUCCGGAUUCAUUGGGCGUAAAGAGCGUGUAGGCGGCCAGGUAGGUCGGUUGUGAAAACUGGAGGCUCAACCUCCAGACGUCGACCGAAACCAUCUGGCUAGAGUCCGGGAGAGGAGAGUGGAAUUCCCAGUGUAGAGGUGAAAUUCGUAGAUAUUGGGAAGAACACCGAUGGCGAAGGCAGCCAUCUGGACCGACACUGACGCUGAGGCGCGAAAGCGUGGGGAGCAAACAGG